UGUGUUUGUGUGCAUAAUAGGGGAUCUACUGAGUGUGGGGGAUCUAGAGGCUGCUGUAUGUGUGUGAGGACGAUACGGUCUGCAGUGUUAUCGUCCUACUGCUCACAUUCCAGGAGCACUCCGCAGGAGAGAAUGCAGGAAGUGAUGUCACUUCCUCUCCCCGCCUCUUCCUUUCACGCUGAGCGCCAUAUAGGUGAUCAUAGAGGAGAUCUGGCAGGAACACCAGGACUGAUA